AGAACGAACGCUGGCGGCAUGCCUAACACAUGCAAGUCGAACGAGACUUUCGGGUCUAGUGGCGGACGGCUGAGUAACGCGUAGGUAACGUACCUCUUACUGGGGGAUAACAUCGGGAAACCGGUGCUAAUACCGCAUAAGUCGUGUCUUGAAAUAGAUACGAUUAAAGAUUUAUCGGUAAGAGAUUGGCCUGCGUCUGAUUAGCUAGUUGGUAGGGUAAUGGCCUACCAAGGCGAUGAUCAGUAGUUGGUCUGAGAGGAUGACCAGCCAGAGUGGGACUGAGAACGGCCCACACUUCUACGGAAGGCAGCAGUAGGGAAUUUUGCGCAAUGGGCGAAAGCCUGACGCAGCAACACCGCGUGCGGGAUGAAGGCCUUUGGGUGUAAACCGCUGUCAGCAGGGAAUAAAUUGACUGUACCUGCAAAGGAAGCACCGGCUAACUACGUGCCAGCAGCCGC
rnacentral:rRNA from 1 species